CCCAAUUGGCUGUCGUCCUGGGCAACCAAGGACGCGGUGGGCACGCGGGGUGGGGGGAGGGGUCCCAGCUGGUAUUUAAAGGCUGCCACUGCCCAGGCCCAUUCAGUCCGGCCAGGACGGCGACGGUGAAGCACCUGGGUUGAGAGGGAGGAGCAAGUGCUAUGGAUCUUCCUCAGAAGAACAGGAAGUUGCUUCUGUGGAACUGGUUAUCUGCCAUGGCCUCAGCAAUCCAUAGUCCAUGCAUGGAGAGGAUUUCCCCAUGGUCAGAAGUCAACUUGCACAUCUAGUUAAGAUCCAAGUCUCUGCACUUCUGCACUUGAGCUCAUCAAUUUGUUCUCUGCAUCCUGAGAGAAACAGGACAACUGAAUAUCACUUUGCAUCUUCUCUUACCACCAUGGAUUCAAGCUGGAU